rnacentral:tRNA from 1 species
GUCCCUGUAGCGCAAUGGAUAGCACGUUGGACUUCUAAUCCAACGGUCGUGGGUUCGAAUCCUACCUGGGAUA